rnacentral:rRNA from 1 species
AUUGAACGCUGGCGGCAUGCUUUACACAUGCAAGUCGAACGGCAGCGGGGGCGUUCGGCCUGCCGGCGAGUGGCGAACGGGUGAGUAACGCAUCGGAACGUGCCCAUGUCGUGGGGGAUAACGUAGCGAAAGCUACGCUAAUAUCGCAUACGCCCUGAGGGGGAAAGCGGGGGAUUCUUCGGAACCUCGCGCGAUUGGAGCGGCCGAUGUCGGAUUAGCUAGUAGGUGAGGUAAAGGCUCACCUAGGCGACGAUCCGUAGCGGGUCUGAGAGGAUGAUCCGCCACACUGGGACUGAGACACGGCCCAGACUCCUACGGGAGGCAGCAGUGGGGAAUUUUGGACAAUGGGCGCAAGCCUGAUCCAGCCAUGCCGCGUGAGUGAAGAAGGCCUUCGGGUUGUAAAGCUCUUUCGGCCGGGAAGAAAUCGUGUUCUCUAACAUAGGACAUGGAUGACGGUACCGGACUAAGAAGCACCGGCUAACUACGUG